rnacentral:rRNA from 1 species
GUUUACGGCCAUUCCACCCCUGAACAAGCCUAAUCCCGUCCUAUCUCGGAAGCUAAGCAGGGCCAGGGCUGGUUAGUACUUGGAUGGGAGACCACCUAGGAAGACCAAGUACUGUAGGCA